UUCUUUUGCGAUGUUUUUUUUCCCUUUUUCCCAUUUUUUUGGGGUGUUCCUUUCUAUAUCAUCCCUUUUUGAUGUUCUUUGGUCUGGAUGAGCCUCUUUCUCCCCAGAAAAGACUCAUCCAUAAUUUUGGAGAUGUUAGGGCCUGAAGGUGGAUGAUCUGUGUUUUUUAUUUUAUUUUCUUGAUGUUUUGUUACUAUAUUCUCCUUCUUCUGGUGUUCCUUUUUAUUUUCCUUUUCUUUGGUGUUCCCAUCACGUGGAUUGUCUACGACAUCUAACGAGCACCACAAGCCCCGGUUUAUUGUUCGGAGUUUCCUCUCCUAGGCAGACUGCCUACCACGGCUGACGAGCUCCACCUGCCCGGGUUUAUUGUUCGGAGUUUGCUCUCCUAGGUGUAUUACCUAUGACGGCUCACGAGCCCAACCUGCCCGGGUUUAUUGUUCGGAGUUUGCUCUCCUAGGUGAAUUGCCUACCACGGCUAACGAACCUCACCUGCCCGGUUUUGUAAUCGGAGUUUGCUCUCCUAGGUGAACUGCUUUCGCUAACGACCUCCACCUGCCCGGGUUUGUAAUCGGAGUUUGCUCUCCUAGAUGAAUUGCUUUCGCUAACGACCUCCACCUGCCCGGAUUUGUAAUCGGAGUUUGCUCUCCUAGAUGAACUGCUCACGCUAACGACCUCCACCUGCCCGGUUUUGUAAUCGGAGUUUGCUCUCCUAGGUGAACUGCUCACGCUAACGACCUCCACCUGCCCGGUUUUGUAAUCGGAGUUUGCUCUCCUAGAUGAACUGCUUUCGCUAACGACCUCCACCUGCCCGGGUUUGUUGUUCGGAGUUUGCUCUCCUAGGUGUAUUACCUAUGACGGCUCACGAGCCCAACCUGCCCGGGUUUAUUGUUCGGAGUUUGCUCUCCUAGGUGAAUUGCCUACCACGGCUAACGAACCUCACCUGCCCUGGUUUGUUGUUCGGAGUUUGCUCUCCUAGGUGAAUUGCCUACCACGGCUAACGAACCUCACCUGCCCGGGUUUGUUGUUCGGAGUUUGCUCUCCUAGGCAGAUUUCCUACCACGGCUAACGAGCCCCACCUGCCCGGCGUUGUAGCCGAAGGAUCUCCGGCACCUCCGUCAGGGUCCCGAUGGACGCCGAGGCGCCUUGCCGGGAGCCCUCCAGUCCUGCCAUGCUCGCCUGGGAGACCUUGGGCUCGCUGGCGCUCCACCGCCCCGCCGAUUCGAAUAGGGCGGAUGCAAGAACUCGCUUCUUAAAACUUCCAGACUGGAUUAUAAAAUGAAUCAUAAAUGCCGUGAAGGCGCCGGUCACCGCGUUUAUCGGUUCUUGGAUGAAGGACCGAUUGGCCUCGGGGACGCGCACAAGCAUCAUAAGGAAUCCUCGGCGCGGCUUCCGGCGCAUCAUCCUUUUCCCUUUUCUUUCUUACUUCCAAUUUUUCUUUUUAAUUAUAUUUUCUUUCUCUGAUUGACUGAUUGAUUGAUUUUACAUAGUAAGAAUUGGUU